rnacentral:rRNA from 1 species
AGAGUUUGAUCCUGGCUCAGGAUGAACGCUAGCUACAGGCUUAACACAUGCAAGUCGAGGGGAAACGACAUCGAAAGCUUGCUUUUGAUGGGCGUCGACCGGCGCACGGGUGAGUAACGCGUAUCCAACCUGCCCAUCACUUGGGGAUAACCUUGCGAAAGUAAGACUAAUACCCAAUGAUAUCUCUAGAAGGCAUCUGAAAGAGAUUAAAGAUUUAUCGGUGAUGGAUGGGGAUGCGUCUGAUUAGGCUUGUUGGCGGGGUAACGGCCACCAAAGCAACGAUCAGUAGGGGUUCUGAGAGGAAGGUCCCCCACAUUGGAACUGAAGACACGGUCCAAACUCCGUACGGGAGCA